GUGCUCACUUUAGCAGCACAUAUACUAAAAUUGGAAUGAUACAGAGAAGGUUAGUGUGGCCCUUAUGCAAGGAUGACACACAAAUUUGUGAAGAAUUCCAAUUUUUU